rnacentral:rRNA from 1 species
CGCGUAGGCGGUUCGUUAAGUCGGAUGUGAAAACUCUGGGCUCAACCCAGAGCCUGCAUCCGAUACUGGCGGACUAGAGUGCGAGAGGGGAAGGCGGAAUUCCUGGUGUAGCGGUGAAAUGCGUAGAUAUCAGGAGGAACACCGGCGGCGAAGGCGGCCUUCUGGAUCGCAACUGACGCUGAGGCGCGAAAGCUAGGGGAGCAAACA